UGCCGGAUCGUCUAGUGGUAGGACGUCGCUCUCUGGAAGCGAAAACUGGGGUUCGAGUCCCUGUCCGGCAG
rnacentral:tRNA from 1 species